rnacentral:rRNA from 2 species
AUAAGAGGUCCCGCCUGCCCGGUGACUAAGUUUAACGGCCGCGGUAUUUUGACCGUGCAAAGGUAGCGCAAUCACUUGUCUUUUAAAUGAAGACCUGUAUGAAUGGCACCACGAGGGCUCAACUGUCUCCUUUCUCCCGUCAAUGAAAUUGAUCUCCCCGUGCAGAAGCGGGGAUUACCCCAUAAGACGAGAAGACCCUAUGGAGCUUUAGGCACCAGAACAGACUAUGUUUAACACCUAAGCACAAAAGACAAAACCAAUUAGACCCUGUUUCAAUGCCUUUGGUUGGGGCGACCGCGGGGAAAUAAAAAACCCCCAUGUGGACCAGGAGUACCAUCACUCCCACAACCCAGGGCUACAGCCCUAAGUAACAGAACUUCUGACCAAUAAAUGAUCCGGCAUAAACCGAUCAACGAACCGAGUUACCCUAGGGAUAACAGCGCAAUCCCCUUCUAGAGUCCAUAUCGACAAGGGGGUUUACGACCUCGAUGUUGGAUCAGGACAUCCUACUGGUGCAGCCGCUAUUAAGGGUUCGUUUGUUCAACGAUU